AGAGAGCUGUGAACAUUUUUAUAACUUUCUCUGCUAUUUACCUGACAUCUGCUAUUUACCUGACAUAAAACUUAUCGAGCCAGUAGCCAUCAUGCUCAUGUAUCAAAAAAAGAAACAUAAAAGGGACCCAGUGCAACUUUCCAAGAGAAUUUUCUUUGUAGAAUUGGUUUUUAUGGGAGCAGUUUACCUUGGAUUUAAUGCACUGCACAAGUCGCAAGAGAUGAGAAAAAGAGCAUAUCACAAUGUUCCUCGGCUUCUUGAAGCUUAUUAUUUUACUGUGGAUUCAUGGAACUCUGAUAUUAAAAUAAAAGACAAAGACUACAGUGACUGGGGAAUAUCGUAAAUCAUGAAGUUUGAAAUCCAUAAGCCAGGAAACACCCCUGAAUAUUUUUACACAGUGGAAUAUUCUCCGAAAAAUGGCUGUAGUACAAAAAUUACUUUCAUGGUGGCCCGUUUUACAUGCAAUGCAGGACAUCAGUGUUGCUGGAGUGUCAUUGAUAAACAUCUGAAUACAAGGAUUGGGAGGUGUCACCUUCUUUGUAUGUGUCAAUUUAAGCACAUUUACGGGGAUACAUGUAGAACUGCAAAGUCAAUUUUAGAGCAACAGCAGAUUAACAGAGAAAAAAUGGCCAUUUGAAGAAGAAAUUGUUUAUUCAAGUUUAUUGGCAAAACCAUUAUUUGUGAAUUUGCUCCAUUUAGAUGCAUGCAUUUUAAAGGGCAUCUAGCAGUGUUUUAAAUAUUUGUUACAGUUUUCACUGUUAAAAAUAAAUUGAAAAACUGUUCUUGAAAAAAUUUGACAUUACUAGUAAGUAGCAAGCAGCUGUUUUUUAUACCUGCUGUUAGUUUUGUGAUGGGAUAUGUCAAAAAGUUUUGACAUUUUCUCCCUGUGAGAUAGUACAUUGCACCACUCAUUAAUCUCUUGGACCCCAUUCCCAUACACACCAUUGGUCUACAUGGAUCCACCCAACUCUGCAGGGAAUCUCACCAGGUGCAGUCAGCAUAACUGAAUGAUAAACCGGUUCAUUUAUAUUAAGCUCCCAUCAGAGUUGAGUUUUCUUUAGGCCACAUAAUUUAUAUUUA